rnacentral:lncRNA from 1 species
UGGAGAGUAUUCUGUGUGCAGCAGUUACAAAAUCCUCUUACAAAGAAAUGAAAAUUACAGGCAAGAGGAAAUCAAUACAUGUUACAAAAAAACUCUGGAGCUGUGACCUCCCUUCAAAAAUUAAUAUUACAGCCUAGAGAGUCACCCUUAACUUUAUCCCUACUCUAGUAAACCUAAAAGCUAAGCGACUAAUAAAUGAGGCCAAUUGUUAGAGGUGCUUGUAAGGGCUGGAAACAAGAGAACACGUCUUCCGGGAUUGCACUGUCACAAAAGAAAUAUGGGAAAAAUUAGAGUUUACAUGGCCUCAGGCUCUUUCACAAGUUGAGUUUAUGGAAUGGUUUACCUGAAUUAUGCUCCACAGUACAAGAGAAGCCAGUCAGACCUUCAUUUGCACUUUAUGGGCUAUCUGGGCAGCUAGAAACAAAUGGAUGUAUGAAAACCACAAGAGAACUGGAGCAGAAAUAGUAAAAUUCAUACGGGGAUAUAUACAGGAAGUUAAAGACAUUACGAAAACAGAUCUUGCCUUAAGGUUGGAAUCUGAGUUAUGGAGGCCUCCGGAAAAAGAGUUCUUCAAGAUAAACUUUGAUGCUGCCUUUGAUAAUAGAUAGAACAGAUCCUGUUCAAGAAUAAUAAUCAGAAAUUUCAAGGGUGACAUUAUAGUAUCCAACACAAUAAUUCAUACCAACAUAUGCACUAGUUUUGCGGCUGAAGCAAACGCAUGUCUACAGGCAGUCAAGAUGGGCAGAGAAUUAGGGAUAAAACAGAUUAACAUUGAAGGAGACUCCUUAACAGUUAUAAAGAAAGUUAAAAGCUCAAAAAGAGACAGAUUGGAAAUAGGACCUUUUAUCUAUGAUAUAAAAGAACAGAAAGCAACAUUCCACGAUUUUCAGUUUCAAUAUGUCAGACGAUCAGCAAAUACAGAAGCACAUAAUCUGGCAACGGAAGGGCUAAAAAUGGACAGAAGUACAUACCUGGCUCCUGGGUCCGGCGGAAAUGGCAUUUCUGAAGCAGAGGUAGAUCGGGGAUAGAGAUAAACCAAUUGGAAAUAGUAACAACACCAGUUGCGGGGACAAAAGAGGAGAAGACGAUCUAUCUAGCAGGAAAAUACAUGGCGGUACAAAAAUCUUUAGAAAAGGAAAAUGAGUGGAAGACGGGCUGCGAAUAAGAAGAAGGCAACGAUGGAAAAGAAAAGAUCAAAGGAAUAAGACUAACAGCUGGGAAGACAAUAUCUUUUCGUUGGA